UGUCCCUGACGUGGGUAGAGUGGCAUCUGGUUGGUGGUGCCCAUCUCAUAUCAGCCAGGGACAAAGCAACCCCUUGUUCAUCCCAGCUUGGCUUUUCAUCUGUGCCUAUGCUUGGUUCAUGGCAUGGACACAUUU
ensembl:snoRNA